AGGGACGGACCAUUAGAAAAGUGAUGGGGGGGGGCAAAACCAAAAAAAAAAUUUAUUCCCAGAAAAAAAUGAAAAAAACUAACUUUCAAGGCAUAGUGCAAAAAAAAAAUUCCUUGCUGAGAAGAUAGGCCAAGUGGUGUACUGGAGGGAGGGCUCAGGGGAGCUGAGCCCCUUGUUGAAAUUUCAUGUUGACUUGGGGGGCUGCACAUUGGUCAAAUUUAGCAAAAUUUCUCCCACUCGUGCGGGUUCGUAUUGACAGCGGACAUCUUACAGAAAGUGGCCAGUUCUUUGAAAAAUGCAAAAGUUUCAAUUUUACACCGCAAGUCCACUGACAAUAUGAGCCUGCGAGAAAAUUUGCUGAAUGUGACCAGCGUGCUGAGCCCCCCUAUAUUUUGGCACGUUGCAUAAUUGAUAAUCUUAACAACGUGCGAAAACACACACAAAAAAAUACCAGUAAACGAGAA